CCUGGAGUGAAGCAUGUUCACGUAAAAAAAAACUACUUGCUAUACUGAGAACUCCUGAGUAUAGCAAGUAUUGAUCUUCACUCUGUUAUUGUGGAAGUCCAUGAAGUGGCACAUAGAACGGCAAUGAUUUAAACCUCACUUGGGAUAAUCUACUUCUGGGACAAGGUACUUUGAUGCUCAUUUAAUUUGAGUCAGCUUCGCAUAUGGAUUCUUCGCGCGAUGAUGCCAUAACGACUCAUUAUAACGAUUUCGAAAUGGUUCGUCAGUUGUGCCUUCGCGGCCUUAUAUUAGAACUUCUUCAAGACUUCCAUAAAGAUGAAGUAAGAGCUUUAGGAAGCGAACUGGGUCUGUCUGAAGAAUUCCUGGAACGUCA